rnacentral:rRNA from 1 species
GACGAACGCUGGCGGCGUGCCUAAUACAUGCAAGUCGAGCGGACUUUUAAAAGCUUGCUUUUAAAAGUUAGCGGCGGACGGGUGAGUAACACGUGGGCAACCUGCCUGUAAGACUGGGAUAACUUCGGGAAACCGGAGCUAAUACCGGAUAAUGCUUUUCCUCUCAUGAGGAGAAACUGAAAGAUGGUUUACGCUAUCACUUACAGAUGGGCCCGCGGCGCAUUAGCUAGUUGGUGAGGUAACGGCUCACCAAGGCGACGAUGCGUAGCCGACCUGAGAGGGUGAUCGGCCACACUGGGACUGAGACACGGCCCAGACUCCUACGGGAGGCAGCAGUAGGGAAUCUUCCGCAAUGGACGAAAGUCUGACGGAGCAACGCCGCGUGAGUGAUGAAGGUUUUCGGAUCGUAAAACUCUGUUGUUAGGGAAGAACAAGUACCGGAGUAACUGCCGGUACCUUGACGGUACCUAACCAGAAAGCCACGGCUAACUACGUG